UUAGUAAAUAGUAUACACCGGCACCAUGAGGCUAUGGAUACAUUUCACGUUCGCCAUCUUGAUUCUGGUGGCUUACGCCAAUUCUGCUCCAGACAAGAUUCCAGCAUGGCUGUCAGUUCCUGAUAAAAAAGCCCUGGAAGCUUACCUGAAGAACCCCAAUGACCCUAAAUUCACCAAUAGAGUCAAGAGCGGCUUCUUCGUACUGACAGAUGGGAACCUGUUGCCUUUGAGUUCAAUAAAGAACUAGUGAUGAUUUCGGUAUUGAUUUUGAAGGUUAAUUGGUGGAAAUAUAAAGUUGAAAAUUAUUUGUGAAAA